GCCGUUUGGUGGGAUCCUGCCGUGCAAAGCCAGGUGUUGUGGACCUGCCAUCGAUGCCGCACAAACUCCGCAAUCGAUGCGAUCCGCGGCGUGAGAGCUGAAAACUCGCGAUGAGGCGGGGGCUCGCCACCUUCGCGGCGCAACCCCCACGAUACUGCCUGACCCAUUGAGUUCCUGCAGCAUCUUGGCUGUUUCUCCAGAUUUCCAGCAGGUGUGCUUUUUGAUGUCUCCACAAUCAAGGAUCCCUCCUACCCUGAUGUUCCAGGGUUGAGUUUGGAGCUAAUGAGUGAUAUCUGCUGUGGACCUGUUGUGCCGUAAGCAAAUUGGAGCAGAUCCAAGUCGCUUGUCAAGCAGGAAUUGAUGUGUUUCAUCACCAGCAUCUCAAAACACUUCAUCACCGUGGAUGUAAGUGCUACUGGAUGACAGUCAUUGAAGCAGGUCACCAUGUUCUUCUUGGGUCAAAAUCAGGAAACUCAGUGGAACCAUGACCCCUCAGGAGCAGCUUAAUCCCAGGCUAAAAUGGCAGCCACGAAACCAGAAACCCGAAGAACCCAAUGUGCAGUGUAAAACAAACACAAAUCGUGCAAAAGGUAAAAGUAAGCAGAUCGUAUUUGGAAUGAAAGUGAGCCCUCAGACAGAAAGCACAGAGCGGCCGGAGCAGGCCCAAAGCCUCAGCCUCAGUUCAGCACAUAGCAGAGCCGACGACACAAAAAUAGCUAGCUGAUUACUUGUAGCUGAUUCUAUAUUUUUCUAGAAGUUUUUCUGCAGCCUCUGAACCCCGUUAUUUCAUGGGUUAUUUCUUCUCACUGGGAUGUUCUGUUAUCUGUCGAGAUUGAGCAAGUUUUUCAUGCAAAAUAACCGCAACUUCCUUGUCCUUUGGCUUAUCUUUCUUUCUUUGCCAUUUGUUCUGGUAAUGCGUAAUAAGUUGUUGUUCCUUUCCACGGCUUGCGGCACAUUGGGUGGUAACCUUGCUAAUUCUUUAACAUUUAUCUGUUUUUAUGAGGCUGAGUUGCUAGCUGGACACUCAACCCAACAUGGAUGGAAAUCAUGCAAGGAGUUGGCUGGAUUCAAACCAGAGACCACUUGCCCUGAAAUCCAUUGAGGAUGCCACUACUCCACCAGUUGGCAUAACACUUAAUGAGUGGCUGUAGCCAACAAGCUUUGUGCUUUUUUCUUGACUUCCAAAAAACAGCUGGAUGGCCAGACCAUCAGAUACAACAGAUACUAAUAUUCAAAGUGCAAAAUAUUCUUCAACUCAUGUUCUUGUUAUUUAUUGCUUGCUUGUUUAUUAUUAUUAUUAUUAAUAAUAAUAUUAUUAUUAUUUGUU